ACCAGUGAAGAAGAACACUAGUACCGCAACCACGACAACAGAGAGCAGCCGGAGUGAGGAGACUGUCCAUCCCCAGCACCCGUGUCCCAACCUAGCAUGACUGGAUUAAACAAGCCCUCCCAGCCAACAUCCAGUUUCAGAGUUCCUGCAUGGCAUUGUGCACCCCCUGUUCAAAAUUAAUUCCAGCGGCCCUGAUCACAGCUGUGAAGAGUCCUGUCCUAUUACUCUAAACGCAGUUCAAUCUGAUUGUGACAUGUCAUCUACAUGGAGAUCCUGUCCUACGUUGAGAUGGGAUUAUGGAGGUGUAAUAUUCUGCAUACUACCGAUUGAAUCUAAUGGCUUACGGCUCCCACAUCAUCAAGAGAAGAGAAGAAUGAAGAAGAAGUAGAAGGUAAAAUGUCUUUCAGGCGAUACGCUUCAUGAGCCCUUCUGAUGGGGGAGGACUGAAGACAAAACAAGCCGUCACAAGGAGCAUAACUGAAAUGCAUCUUAUGUAAUUCAAGACAGAGUGAAA